AAAUAUUAAAAGAUAUUUUUAACCACCUUUGUUAGACAACUCAAAAAUACGAUAUUAUUUUCCCUCGAAUUUGUAUGGUUCUUCUACAUUCGUCGGCGAUAAUCUACGUUCACCAAUAGUUACCCGUCGGCACACCAUUCAGUUUAAAACUGACAGUUACAACCGUAGUAUUCGAAAUCAAUACUCCGUCAGUCGUUCCGAUUAAUCAUAUA